AGCCCCGUCAGGCACUCGGGAAGAGGCCCCUCCCCCUCCUCUAGCCCCGCCCCCUGUGUCCUGGCAAACGCCGCAGGACAGGGAUAGUAGCUCAGCCCUGCCUCAGAGCUCGUAACUCCGCCCAUCCCAGUCCUGGCUGCCCAUUUGUGGCCCCGCCCACCUCCCCCUCUCAGCCCUGCAUCUUGGACUAGGGGAGAGGCUCAUCCCCGCCCUCUUGGGCAGGAACCAUGCCCACCCCUCUUAAGUCACACCCCCUUCCCAGGGGGCACUGAGUAAUAUUUUUUCUGGAAAGGAGGCGGUAGACCAAUAAGUUUGGGAACCACUGUUUUAAACCAUAGAAGAUCUAUAUCCAGAGAUAAUAUAGCAAAUGUUGAGGACAAAUAAGGGAGGGCUGUUGGCCUUUGGUUCAAUUUAUGAAAUACUUAAUCCUAUUAAUACUUUAGGGAUCAGAACUCACUGGUCUUUCAGAUGCUCCUGGACUCCCAAUGAGAAUGAGCCAGCGGUGCAGUGAGUUUUGAUGGGAACUGUAAUACAUCAACUUCUGAAGGCAACCUCAUUCCUAGACAAGAUUACACGUUUGGUUCAUUCCAGUUUGGGGGUGUUCAUAGUGUGAAAGAGACAUGAGGAAGUUCAAGGAAAGGAUUAGUACAGUGUUUGUUUUUUCCUUUGUUGAGUGAAAACAUGGUGGUAAGCGUACCAGAUAUAAAUGAAAUUGAACUUUCUAGAACGCAUAUUGCUCUUGAAUUGAAAUAUUUUCCUUACCCGUCUUAAUGUAACAGAAGAAGAAUGCAUCAUUUCUGCAUUCAAUAGAGUGCUUAAGUUGUUGAUGCUGUAGAAAAAUUGAGUGGGAGUUUUUGAGGACAUCCGGGGUAAAUGUGAAUUAAUCUUCGUUGUCAUUGUAUUUGAAAUAUUUGGUGCACUUGCCUUAUGAGUGUGAUUUAUAAAACCUAUCCUGUUGUUCAAGUGAAGUGAAGACGUACGACCCUUCUGGGGAAUCCACCCUUCCUCGGGUCCCAAAAAAACGCAAAAUCGAAGCUGAGGAGGAAGAGGAGGUACCAGCUCCCAAGAAAGCAAAGAAGACUAAAGUAGUAGAAAUUAAAGAAGAGGAGGCAGCAGUAGAGGAUGAGCAAAAUGAUAGUGGAAGUGUCAAAAAGAAGAAAAAGAAAAAGGAUAAAAAACAGGAAGCUCAAGAAGAAGCAGUUUGUGUGGAGGAAGAUGAAGAAGAGCCAUCAACCAGUACAGCAGUAGAGAAUACAGAGAAGAAGAAAAAGAAGAAGAAGAAAAUGAAAGAGGAGCCUGAAGAUGAUGACUGAGAAAAGAAAACAACAGUCUCUUGGGAUGACUUAAUUUGGCCUAGGACAUUUGCUUCACAAAAAUAUUUUGCUUCAUUAGAAGAGAAGGCAGAGGGAUUGUUUGCCUUUUCUUGGGACAGAUCCUGUUUUGUUUUUUGUGUUUUUCUAACCAAGUUUUGUUGACAUUAAUUUUUAUUGGCAAUAUUAGUACAGUAUAUCCAUACUGUAAUGUUGAGAUGGGAAGUUAUGCCUGAAAAGCAAUAUAUGCAUAUUUUAAAUAGGUAAAUAAUACUUCAUCAAGUCCCUUCCUGCAGACUCAAGUCUGAAUAAAAGUACUACUUUCUAACUGUCUUUAUGUCUUUCUUGGGCCUCCUUUGGAAGUUUUUUUUUAUUACAUAGUGUACUACAGGUCCAUUGUACUGGAUAAUGGUUUACACAGAGGGAAACUAUGCAAAAGAAGAUCUAAAAUAAUAAUAGCAGCUGCCUCGAUCCAGAAGUCUGUAGUUGUGCAGAACUCCUUGGCUGGCGUGACCAUUAUUUGUAUCUUUUGAGGGGAAUGAUUUUUGCAGAUUUGUCUAACACAAAGUUAUUGUUGGGGAAAUAUAUGUUAUCACAAUAUAUUUUGGUAAAAAUACAUUUCACACAGUUUACACUUUUUUUCCUAGUUUCAUUUAGUCUUAUUUCAAAGCUAUCUGUG
rnacentral:lncRNA from 11 species